UCCCAUUUAAAAGAAGGUUUAACUGCAGCAGUGAAAACAAGUAACGAAUAUAUUCUCUACCCAUUUGUGUCAUGUAUUUUUCAUCGAUAUAAAUAUUGUAAACAAAGUAAAUGUUUGUGUUUAAAAACAUUUUUUUCAAGCAUAUUAUCGUGAAACGACAAGAAAAAAUACAAAAACAUAAAAAUAACAUACCUUUUUCAUUGUCGUUUUAGUAGAAAAACGUUAAUUAAAUCAAAACAGAUUCAUUUUUAUAUGUUUUUGAUCGGAUCUGAACAUGAACCUGUCGUUGUCAGGAGCAACUUGCCAAAGCCAAAACGCCAGGCAUAAAAGUUUUUUUUCCAAAGCUUCUCUGCUACCAUAUUCAUGAAAAAAGCAUGUACAUUUUUACUGAAACUAUACGUCUUUUUGUGUGUUUCUUGCCAGUUUUCGGGCGUUUUCGUAUUCGUGUUUUGUUUUAUAUCUUUUAACUUUUCAAUUUUUGUCAGCCUCGCUUUGAAAAUACACAACUGCGCACUGAUCUCAAAUUAGUUCGCAAGCAACACUGGAAUUUUAAUCAAUUUAAUUUUUACAUCUGAUAAAAAAUAAACACGUUAUUUACCGGCAGCGUCGGUCCGGAUGAGAAAAACUGUGCCCUCGGUCUUGAAAACGUCCCUCGCCCUUCGGGCCCGGGCCGUUUUCAAGACCUCGGGCACAGUUUUUCUCAUCCGGACCUCGCAGCCGGUAAAUAACAUAUAUAUAUAUUGUAUAAUUUUUAACCUGCCAAUGCAUGGGGUAAACUGCAAAAUGUCGUUUUCAUUAAACAAAUAUCAAGCCUUGCUCUUGAUCAUUAACAACACAAGAAAGUCCAUAAUUAAUAAUAUGCUUUUCAAUGCCUUAUUCAGUCACAAAUUUCUAUACCCUUGCGUAGGUACAGAUACGAGGCUGCGGUAAUUUCAAAUUACUUCAGUUUUCCAUCUAUAUAUAAGAAAGGCGCGUGGAAUUCUUACUAGUCUUGAAUUUUUAAAAUAUUUCGUUUUUCUAAGUCUUCCAUUUCUUUCAACACAUACGCCACGUCAUAUUCCAGUUCAUUAAAUUUUGACAAUGAAACCUAGAAA
rnacentral:lncRNA from 1 species